GGGCCUUUAGCUCAGUUGGGAGAGCGCCUGCCCUGCAAGCAGGAUGUCGCAAGUUCGAACCUUGUAAGGUCCACCA
rnacentral:tRNA from 2 species